ensembl:misc_RNA
AAAAGAAUUGAUGAGAAACAUGAAGAUCAAAUGUCCAUCUCGAAACACUGCUUUUACAAAAGCAGAAUAAAAUGGAAAGAAAUGAAAAUGA